CUUCUUUCUUCAAAUUUGAAAUUCUUUCUUUACCAACAUAUUCAGCUGCUGGGCAUUGCUUGGACGUCUUCCUCGAGAAUCUUUCCUACGCGAUUUGGGCUGCUGCUCGAACUUACACAUGGAGGAGUUAAUUAUGAUAUUUCCAUGAUGAAAGUACAGGAUAAGUCUAACAGCAUAUUCUCAACGGCAUGUCAAGGUAUUUCUACCGACAUUGAUGGAGCAAAGGAAUUCUGCAGUAGUGGUAAACUAAAUUCUCCUCCACGGUGUCAUAAUGUCUCCAAUUUAGAUGAAUUGAACAUUUUGCAGACAAAGAAAAAGGGAAAGGCUUUACACUACGCAAAGUCUUCACACAACAGUACUCCUCUGUUGUUUGAUGUUUGUGAGUUGUACAUCAAAAUUUCGAUUAAAUGUUAUAUUACUAACUUCACUCUUUGUUUCCCUCAUCAUUUUUCUCUCAUCAUUCAAGUUAAUUAUGAAACUUCAAUGAUGAGGGAUCAUGGUGGUGGUAAAAGUGAAAUGCAAACUACACACAAUAAUCCUCCCCCCAAAUCAGGUAAGUACUGCUGAUUCUUUUACAAUGAAUUUAAAUCAAUUUUUUUGUAUUGGUCAUGGUGAUUUCAGUCGUUCACCUGAUUUCAGUGUUGGUUGACAAAGAAAAUACAAAUAUACGUCAACCAUUAGCCAAACAGAGCGUCGCCGCUCAUUGUCAAAUGAAAUCUAUAAUGAAGCGUAAACCACUGUCACCUCUAAAUGAUCGUUCCAGACUGAAUUGUGACAUGAAGAAGCCGGAAGUGAAUAAUUCACCGCUGAUGGAGACACAGAUACCUCCGCAGGCCAAACGAAAGAACUCUCAGCCUAAUCCUAGUGAUAACAUAAAGCAUUAUUUAUAAUCACUCCUAUCAUCUUACCCUUAAAUCAAUUUGCUUUUUCAUUCUAAUGAUAAUCCAUCUGCAGUUAUCCAAAAAUGUCCAAGGAGGCCUGUAUACAGUGGAGGUGUUGCUGAAUAAACUCCAAAGUCUACUUUGUGUGAUGUUUUUAAUUCCGCUGGUGCAUCUUCUACCAAUGCUGAAAAGACACACACAAAGAAGUCUUUUCAAUAUGCCCCACAAAUUCUUAAUUUUGAGGACCCUGCAGUGCAUCCAGAGCAUCUACAAAACUUGGAGGAAGCUGGUAUGCACCUAUAUUCUAUGCUUUCUUUUUUAUAGCUUCAGACAUGGCUAUAUAAGAUUAUAAAUUCUAAUAUCGUAGAAUAUGCCCGUGUUGGUGGUGUCGAAGAGGACAGAUCUGAUUUUUAUGAGCAUGAUGGUAACUUAUCUUCCUGUUUUUGUUUCAAUAGUACUUUCACCCAAAUAUAUUUGCCACAAAUAUACUACGUGUAAACAGACUAUGCAGAAGAGUUUGAUGGUGAAGAUUGUUGGUAUGAGGAAAGAAUGAAAAGAUUCAUGGUUAAAUCCUCCAACAAUAUUCUUCCCAUUACUAAAAACAAAGGUCUGAUAACCGGGAAUCAACCGACAUGCUUUCUUGAAUGUACGAGGAGCCUCCUAAAAAUUAAAUUAACAUAAAUACAGUGCUGUGUGAAUCAUACAAACCAAAGAGAAACCAACAAAAAUAUACAUAUUGGAAACCCUAACUUACCAACUCAUCAGAUAUGGGAUUGGACUCCUUCACAAAAUUCACAAACUUUAGACCCCCAUUCUUAAGAGAUACUAAAAAAACAAAAAUGAAAAACAAUUACACUUUAUUACGUGGCACUUGCUAGAGAAAUCAUAAUCGAGAUGUCAUGAGAAUUUUACCAACUUUGGGAUGGCUAUUCUGCAUGUAGUGAACAACAUUAGGGUAUUCAAUCUCUGUCAAAUCUAGCCCAAUAAUGUACACAUUGAAGUCAAAGAUGCCAUUGACCUCAAAAAUGAGCAUUUCACCCCCUUCCAACUCAAAGUCGUCAUACAUAGUUGAAAGCCCGUAAAAGGUCCCUUCCUCAGCUAAGAACUGAACAACAAUCUCAUACCCAUUGUGGAAUUUGAAAAGCAAACUGGGUGCAAACCGGUUACCGUAGGUUCUGAUUAUCUCCCGCGGAACAUUCUGUUUAAAAAACUCAAGUCAAAAACGGAACAAAUCCUAACUCAGAUUUAGUUAAUGCACAAAAUACUCAAAAGCUCAUCUGAAUUGGUCUCCGCAGCUGUGAGGAACUUCACGAAUUUCGGAAGAACUAGACCAUAGGAUUCCAUACCUAAAAUUUUCAGAAAAAAAUAGAAUCCUAUCACAAUACAUGCAAGUACAUUUAUGAAACAGCAUUACAAAAUAGGGAUUCGAAACACAUGUAGGAACAAUCGGACCUUGACCUGCGUUUUAUGAUACUAAUUAAAAGUUCGAAAAGAAUAUUAACCUUAAUCGUUACGGCGCAAGCGAUUCAAAUCCACGUCUUCUACUGUAUUCCCUGGUUCUCCUUGGACGAAGUGUGGCCUUCGAUCUCCCAAGGUGUGCCUCUCCUUAAAGCUCCGAAAACCCAAAACCCAAGCUGGCUCCUUGAGAAAAACGACUGCCUCUCUCAAACCCUAGGAUGUGAAUUCGUUUUUUGUGUGUCUUUCAGCUUUAGGAGAACGAGAAUAUAUAUAGGAUACAGUAGGGAUCAUGGACCAUUAGGUCAGGCCUUCCAAUGACAUUCAGGGCCACGCUCAAUGUCAUUAAAUAUUAAUUCAAUCCACUAAAGAAUUAAUAUUUGCACUACCUUUCCUAAUUCCGUAAAUUAAUUACUCCCUCCGUCCCAUUUUAAUUGACACUUAUUCCUUUUUGGGACGUCCCAAAAAGAAUGAACCUAUUAAACUUACUAUUUUUGAACACCACUUUUCAUUAUUACACCCACUACUUUCUUCCACUAUCUCUAUUUAAUAAUAAUAUAAACACUAUUACACCCACUACUUUCCUCCUCUAUCUCACAUCAAUUAUUAAAAUUUUGAUGGGUCCCACCACUUUACCAACUUUUCAACUAAUUUAAUUUCUUUUACUAUUUUUUCUUAAUCUCCGUGAAAGUCAAAGCAGUUCAAUCUUUUCGGGACGGAGGGAGUAUUUAAUUCGGCUCACAUAUUAAUUGCUUAUAAAUUCCCCAUGUUUAAGAUAUCGGAUGUCUAAUAAUUAAAUUAAUUUCUGACAAUUAAUUUAAUCAAUAUCUUUUAUCCUUGAUCAUCCACUCAACCUUAUAAUUAUGCAAGAACAAAUUUGCAUGCAGGACUAAAGCAUAAUUAUCUUUAUGAGCUUUCAAGAGGACAUCAUCACCCGAAUAUAUUUUUCGGACAUGGUUUCCUUUUAUAGUUAAUAUCCCACUCUGUAUAUAAUGUCAUUGCCCAAUACAUAAAUUCGUAAUUUAAAAUAAUUACUUAACUUAUGAGUCAAGGCAUGUGCAUUAAAUACAAGUGUCAAUCACUAUAUUCGGAUCAAGAACCUAAGCAAUAAUAACAUCGUAGAAUCUUAGUUCUUUAUUGUCAGAAUUAAAGAAACAAUUAUUUUACUAUUUUGAUCCCGUUCAAUAUAUACAAAGUAUACAAGUAUUAUUCAAUAGUCAAGAUAAACUAUUUCUAAAUAAUACUUCAGCUGUUCCAGUGGUUUGUCUAACACCACCUCGACUGUGAACCUUUAUUAUAUUAUAUAAGAAAUUCGACAAUCUAACCUUCUGCUAUCCCAUUUGAUACUAGAUUGUCUAUAAUAUAUAAUAUACAGACAAUGUGAAAACAUGCAUUCAAGAUUCUCAAAUAAUUGUUAUAUACUUCAAACGAAUAUUUCAGUAUAACCCUAACAACACAUACCUAUGAAUGACUGAAAUGUACAAGGAAGAGGAUGAGAGAAUUAAGAGAGAGAGUGCAAGAGAUGAUUUUCAAAACGGGACUGUUACCACUCGAACACUUAAAUUCGCAUACCUGUAAUUAGGUUGUAAGUAGAGUAAAUGGGGCUAAUUAAUGUAAUACUGACCUCUUUUACAAAAAUAUAUUUUAUUCAUGUUCCGUUUUUGUUUUGAAACAUUUAAAAUUUAAAAAAUGCAACUUAUAAGCAAAAAAUUGAAUAUUAUUCAUGUCCUGUUUUAUAUUCUUAUAAAACAAUACCUCUUUAAUUUAAUAUAAACUCAAUCAUUAAAAAAUUUAACAUGGACAAAUGCAACUUCAAAUAAACAAACAGCAUACAUCUAAUGAACAAUAAUUUUAUGACUCAAAAAUUGCAUUUUUUAAUGCCAUGUUUUUUGUAUUUUGGGAGGGGAAAAAAGGAACAAUAAUUUUAUGUCACCUUCAUCACAAAUAAAAGAUUUAACAAUAAUUUUAUGUCUUCAAACAUUUUAUUAUAAAAAAAUAAAAAAUUCCAAGCGUAGCGGGUAAGAAUACUAGU